ACGCAUAUUUCAUGUUUCUCCAUCAAAAAUGUAUUUUGUUCCAACAAUGAAAUUUGAAAAAUCGACAUUUAUUCAUGGUGAAAUACCACAUUGGAAUGCCAAGUUCAUUGAAAUUCCAUUUUUGGAUAACAACGUUACAAUGAUUAUAUUUUUGCCAAAUAAAAAUAUGGAACCUGGGAAUCUGGAGUACUUGGA